rnacentral:rRNA from 1 species
GAUCGCACACGCGCUACACUGAUGUAUUCAAUGAGUUUAUAGCCUUGGCUGACAGGCCCGGGUAAUCUUUGAAAUUUCAUCGUGAUGGGGAUAGAUCAUAGCAAUUGUUGGUCUUCAACGAGGAAUUCCUAGUAAGCGCGAGUCAUCAGCUCGCGUUGACUAUGUCUUUGCCCUUUGUACACACCGCCUGUCGCUCCUACCGUGAAUGAUCCGGUGAAAUGUUCGCAUCGCGGCGACAUGGGCGGUUCGCUGCCCGCGACGUCGCGAGAAGUCUAUUGAACCUUAUCAUUUAGAGGAAGGAGAAGUCGUAACAAAGUUUCCGUAGGUGAACCUGCGGAAG